rnacentral:lncRNA from 1 species
GGAUGCUGUGGAGCUCUUUAGCUCUGUAGGCCUCUGUUCUAAUGGCUGUAGAUUGCUCUGCUUGUAUAUAUUUCUUCUAUGAUUUUUUUCAUACCUUCCCAAGCGGUUAACUUACUACUUUUGGAGACUCUCCUUCAGCAAUCUUCCCCCUCUAAUGUGUUGCUCAUCGUCUAGGGACCAGAGAGUGGAAUAACCAAACUCACAAGGACUGUGUAUAAACCCUAUGAAUCAGGACAUAGUCACAGGUGAGUGGACUGUUAAAGAUGGCAAAUGAAGCUGGGAACGGAGGCACACGCCUGGAAUAUCAGCGACUGGAGAGGCUGAGAAGAGAGGCUGAGACAGGAGGAUCGCAAGUUCAAGGCCAACCUCAGUGAUUUAUUAAGACCCUGUCUCAAAAUACAAAGCAAAAAGGACUGGGGAUGUAGCUCAGCGGUAGAGCACCCCUGGGUUCCAUCCCCAGGGCUGGGGAAAAAAAGAAGAAGAAGGAAGAAAAAACAAGAAGAAAAGGGCAGAUGGUUAAAUUUAGUUUCUCUCCAAAACCAAUACAAAAAUCAAUUUUAUUUAUUUAUUUAUUUAUUUAUUUAUUUAUAUUUUCAGUACUGGGGAUUGAAGCCAGGGGAAUUCUGCUGCUGAGCUAUAUUCCCAACCCUUUUUAUUAUUAUUUUUUUUUAAUUUUGAGAUAGCAUCUUAUUAAGUUGCUAAGGCUGGCCUUGAACUUGCGAUCCUCCUGUCUCAACUUCCCAAGCUGCUAGGAUUAUAGGUGUGCACCCCUAGUAUAAGAAAAGAUCUUUUAAAAGGAUGAUUUCAGGGCUGGGGUUGCGACUCAGUGGUAGAGCGCUCACUAGCAUUCAUGAGGCACUCCUCAGCACCUCAUAAAAAUAAAAAAUAAAGAUAUUGUGUCUACCCACAACUAAAAAAUAAAUAUUAAAAAAAAAAGGUACAUUGCUGGUGGGACUGCAAACUGGUGCAGCCAAUCUGGAAAGCAGUAUGGAGAUUCCUGGGAAAGCUGGGAAUGGAACCACCAUUUGACCCAGCUAUUGCCCUUCUUGGACUUUUCCCUGAAGACCUUAAAAGAGCGUACUACAGNAGCUUUAUAAUGUUUUGAACAACCAAUAAAAAUAAAUAAAUAAAAGGAAAAAAAUAAAGGAUGAUUUCAGGGGCUGGGGUUGUAGCUCAGUGGUAGAGCAUUUGUCUAGCAUGUGUGAGGCACCAGGUUUGAUCCUCAGCACCACAUAAAUAUAAAUAAAUAGAAUAAAGGUAUUGUGCCAUCUACAACUAAAAGUAUUUUUUUUUUAAAAAAAGGAUGAUUUCAAGAAAUUCAAUAUGCGAAAAUUCCAUGUUUCAGAAGGAGAAAACAGUGAAGAAAAUCAUAAAAGAAAUACUUCAAGGGGCUGGGGCUGGGGCUCAGCGGUAGAGUGCUCGCCUAGCACGUUCGAGGCACUGGGCUCAAUCCUCAGCACCACAUAAAAAAAUAAACAAAUAAAAUAAAAUAAAGAUAUUGUGUCCAACUACAAUUAAAAGAAAGAAAAAACAAAAUAAAUUAAAAAAAAAUUCAAGAAGACCACUUAGAACCAAAAUACAUGAGGUCCAGAUUUAAAGGCCAUUUGAAGAAUUUAGCACAAUGUAUGAAAAUUAAUUAUAUCAAGUGCUGAGAUGUGGGUCAGUAGCAGAGAACUUGCCUAACAUAUGUGAAGCCCUGGGUUCCACUCCCAGAACCACAAACAAAAACAAAAACCAAAAAAAGAAGGAAAAGAAAAAGUAAUAUGCAUAACUUUUUUGGGGGGGUGAAUUUUAAUAUUUAUUUAUUUACUUUUCGGCGGACACAACAUCUUUGUUUGUAUGUGGUGCUGAGGAUUGAACCCAGGCCACACGCAUGCCAGGCGAGCGCGCUACCGCUUGAGCCAUAUCCCCGGCCCAGUAAUAUACAUAACUUUUAUAUAAGAAUAUAUAAAGAGCUGGGCGUUGGGGCUGGGGAUGUGGCUCAAGCGGUAGCGUGCUCGCCUGGCAUGCGUGUGGCCUGGGUUCGAUCCUCAGCACCACAUACAAACAAAGAUGUUGUGUCUGCCGAAAAAACUAAAAAAAAAAAUAAAUAUUAAAAUAAAAAAAACAAAGAAUUGUCAUUUAAAAAAAAUAAAGAAAGAAAGAACUGGGCGCAAUGUUGCAUGCCUUUAAUCUCAAUGGCUUGGGAGGCUAAGGUAGAAGGAUAACAAGUUCAAAGCCAGCCUCAGCAAAAGCGAGCACUGAGCAACUCAGUGAGACCCUGUCUCUAAAUAAAAUGAAAAACUGAGCUAAGGAUAUAUAGCUCAGUGGUCAAGUGCCCCUGAGUUCAAUCCCUAGUAUCAAAACAGAAAAGAAAAAAAAGAAUAUAUAAAGAAAAAAUAACAUAUAUAUUUAUAUAUAAAUGAAAUACAAACUGUUGUGCAAAAAAGAAAAAGGGAUAAUCAAUUACUCAGCUCAGCCUUCUAAUAUAAGCACUGAAUAUAGAGUUAAGAAAAUGAAGACAUAAAUAUUGGGAUGAUGAAGGGACAAAUAACAUGUGUGGUGAUCAAGAGUAGGACUCAGAGCUGAGUGAGGGCUAAAGCUUCAUCUUCUAUAUUCGGAAGUCAGCCUAAAAUGGGGAGGGGGGAAGUCAAUAGGGGCCAGUGUGUAGCUAAUGGUAGACCAUUUACCUAGCAUGCACAAGACCCUGUGUUCCACCUCCUGCUCUGGAAAGAAAAAAAAGGGGAGAAAAUCAAGUAUGGUGACAUGAACAGUUGUUGGGGACCUAGAGGGAGAUAGUAGAACAUUCAGCUAAGACUUGAAAAUUGCUGUGUCUAGAAAGCCCAGAAUUGUUGGCAUGAAGGCUGAUGGGCACGGGUUGAACCCGUGCUCUGACUCUUCACCAUAGUGUGAACAGUUGGAGUGCCUUCUUCCUGUUUUUCAGGCAGUCGUGUUUGCCAGUAAAGUGGCCUCUGAGCAGAAUGGAGAAACGAAUGGUGUCAUACACAAACCACAGGCGUUACACCCCAGCAGAGCCCAACAGACCAUCACGAACCAAGAAGUACAGAAUGUCUACAGAGAAAUUACUUCAUCAUUCUAAGAAUCAAACUCUGAAACACAAGACUAAGGGAUGCAACUACUGUCAUUCCUGACAUUAUUUGUUUAUGAAUAUGGUGGCAUAUGACUACAAUCUCAGCACUUAGGGGACUGAGGCAAGAGGAUCACUUAAGCCCAGGAGUUUGAGAUCAGAUUGGACAACAUAGUGAGACCCCAUUUAGAAAGUAAGAGGGAAGAAGGGAAGGAGAGAAGGAAAUUUUUCUGCUCAAUAUCUAGUUUCCCCCAUUAAAAUGCAAUAUUCACUAAAUAUUUGUUCAAAAUUGCUCCAAGCUGGGCAUGGUGGUGCAGAGCUGAACUUCCAGUGAUGGGAGGCUAAGAUAGGAGGAUCACAAGUUUGAAGCCAGACUCAGCAAGUUGGCAAGGCCCUAAGCAACUUCAUGAGACCCUCUCUUAAAAUUAAAGCAUCCCUGGGUUUAUGUGGCGGCUCUCCGGGGCUGCUCCCCGGCUUCAUUUCUCUCUACUCAGCUUUCCACCCUGGGCAUUCUGAGGUGCUGCCUCCGCUGCCCUCACCACUGCAACCAUGAUCUCCUUAACGGACACCCAGAAAAUUGGAAUGGGAUUAACAGGAUUUGGAGUGUUUUUCCUGUUCUUUGGAAUGAUUCUCUUUUUUGACAAAGCACUACUGGCUAUUGGAAAUGUUUUAUUUGUGGCUGGCUUGGCUUUUGUAAUUGGUUUAGAAAGAACAUUCAGAUUCUUCUUCCAAAAACAUAAAAUGAAAGCUACAGGAUUUUUCCUAGGUGGUGUAUUUGUAGUCCUUAUUGGUUGGCCUUUGAUAGGCAUGAUCUUUGAAAUUUAUGGAUUCUUUCUCUUGUUCAGGGGCUUCUUUCCUGUGGUUGUUGGCUUUAUUAGAAGAGUGCCAGUUCUUGGAUCCCUCUUAAAUUUACCUGGAAUUAGAUCAUUUGUAGAUAAAGUUGGAGAAAGCAACAAUAUGGUAUAACAACAAGAGAAUUUGAAGACUCAUUUACAAUAUUGUAUUAUUUAUAAAAUUCUUUGAAGAAUAUUCAGCACAAAAUUAAAUUACAUGAAAUAGCUUGUAAUGUUCUUUACAGAAGUUUAAAAGGUGUAGCCUACAAAGUACCAACAGCAAUUAGUAAAGAAGCAAUGAAAACAGGCUUCUAAUCAAGUGAUCUAAGAAGUCAGCAAGAGCAAACUGAGGGAGAUGAAAUCCAUGUUCCGAGGCAUAUUGAAACUCUAGAAGGCUAUUUUUAUUAUCUUUCCACAAUGUGCAGAACACAGCCAUUCUUAGAGAACUGUGGUGUCUGUUACUUUUCUUUUUACUAUUAUUAUUAUUAUUAUUAUUAUUAUUUUGAAGGCUCAGGAACACCC